rnacentral:misc_RNA from 1 species
GCAUUUUCUUCCUACAAUUAUUCAUCCGAAGCAGCAACUCUCUCUCUCUCCCUUCCAAAAAUGUUAACUAGUGCUAAGCUCCUCUUUGCGGGAUGUGUUAUCCUUGUCUUUCUAGUCCAACUAAACCACACCUGUCAUGCUAUAAGCAACAAUUCGUGCCCUUCUUCCUCUUGUGGCCACAUCUCCAACAUAGACUACCCUUUCCGAUUGAAAACUGAUUCUGCAAACUGUGGCCGGAAAGAGUAUGAACUUGCUUGCGAGAAUAACGUUCCUGUAGUAUACUUAUCUUCAGCAAAAUAUUAUGUCAAGGAAAUCAAUUACAAAAACUUCACAAUCCGACUGGCUUAUUUCGAUGUGCAAAACGAUGACUACUGCUCUCUACCUCCUUAUCCAUCAACAACCAGAAAUUCUUUUUCCUCGUCGUACGAUUCGUAUGCGGAAUCUUAUAAGGACUAUCUAUAUCAGGACUUGGUUUUCGUAACUUGUCCAAAUCCAGUAAUUUCUGAAGUUUAUGUGGAUACUUCUCCUUGCAAUAUUACUUACAAUUCCUCUUCUUCCUCUCCUAAUUUGGAAAUGAAAGGUUAUGUUAAAGUUGGGUCUGAUGAUGCAAUGGAUUUGAAGGAUUCUUGCCGUAUCGAGCGAAUCUAUAUUACGUCUUUGUUGCCAAAAGAUGCAAAGAACGUUUCCUAUGCAGAUGUUCACCGUAGUUUGGUAUAUGGGUUUGAGCUUUCAUGGUUUUGGGGGGGAUGCUGUUUGGAUAACUCAGAAAACCUUUGCAAGCUUGAUGCUGCCACCAUCAUCCGCAGCUGCCAUUCUACAACGGGACGGCCGAGUAAUCUACGUCCUCUUCUUGUUAAACUGGAAGAAAGUGCACUUGGUCGUCUACUCAGGCGACUCAAAUGGGAACCGGCUCUCUAUGCUGAUUUGGAUUUUAAGGGUUGUGUACUGGCCCUCCUUCAUUAUGUUGUUGUUCUUUUUGUGUUGUAUCGUGGUCCCUUAUUCCUGGGUGGGGUUAUUUGGACUAUCCUAUUUUUUAUUAAUAGAUGGAGAAGGAGGCAUUUAUCUGAAUAUGGCAUAGUUGAAGAAUUUUUGCAAAGUCAUAAUAAUCUUAUGCCUGUUAGAUAUACUUACUCAGAUAUUAAAAAGAUUACCAAUUGUUUCAAAUACAAGUUGGGUGAAGGAGGUUAUGGC